CGUAACAAGGUCUCCGUAGGUGAACCUGCGGAGGGAUCAUUACACAAAUAUGAAGGCGGGCUGGAACCUCUCGGGGUUACAGCCUUGCUGAAUUAUUCACCCUUGUCUUUUGCGUACUUCUUGUUUCCUUGGUGGGUUCGCCCACCACUAGGACAAACAUAAACCUUUUGUAAUUGCAAUCAGCGUCAGUAACAAAUUAAUAAUUACAACUUUCAACAACAGAUCUCUUGGUUCUGGCAUCGAUGAAGAACGCAGCGAAAUGCGAUAAGUAGUGUGAAUUGCAGAAUUCAGUGAAUCAUCGAAUCUUUGAACGCACAUUGCGCCCUUUGGUAUUCCAAAGGGCAUGCCUGUUCGAGCGUCAUUUGUACCCUCAAGCUUUGCUUGGUGUUGGGCGUCUUGUCUCUAGCUUUGCUGGAGACUCGCCUUAAAGUAAUUGGCAGCCGGCCUACUGGUUUCGGAGCGCAGCACAAGUCGCACUCUCUAUCAGCAAAGGUCUAGCAUCCACUAAGCCUUUUUUUCAACUUUUGACCUCGGAUCAGGUAGGGAUACCCGCUGAACUUAAGCAUAUCA
rnacentral:rRNA from 1 species